UACACGCUGUGACUAGCAUAUCAAUAGCGGAGGAAAAGCGCAUUAAAGAUCCAGAUACCUACGCUUAGGAUGUUGACACACGCGCGUGCUCGACUACAUGACUCUGUGCAUAUCAAUAAGCGGAGGAAAAGAAACUAACAAGGAUUCCCCUAGUAACGGCGAGUGAAGCGGGAAGAGCUCAAAUUUGAAAUCUUAAAGGGUUUCCCUUUACGAAUUGUAGUUUAAAGAAGUGUUUUCUGUUGAGGUUUUGGUAAAAGUUCUUUGGAAUAGGACAUCAUAGAGGGUGAGAAUCCCGUAUUUGACCUUUACUUUCAACCUUUGUGAUACACUUUCAAAGAGUCGGAUUGUUUGGGAAUGCAGUCCAAAAUGGGUGGUAAAUUUCAUCUAAAGCUAAAUAUUGGCGAGAGACCGAUAGCGAACAAGUACCGUGAGGGAAAGAUGAAAAGAACUUUGAAAAGGAGAGUUAAACAGUACGUGAAAUUGUCAAAAGGGAAGCGUUUGACACCAGUGUUGUUUUUCUGAAAAUCAAUUAAAGAACUGUUUAUGCUAAGCUGUUUAGACUUUAUCAGCUAACUGUUUAGUUUUGAGCUUUUCUUUAAUGCACUUUUCAGUUAACAAGUCAACAUCAAUUUCUUUUGCUGUAAAAAAGCUUGAGGAAGGUGGCUUGAGAUUCGUCUUAAGUGUUUAUAGCCUCUUGCCUAUGCAGUCGGAGAGAUUGAGGUCUGCAGCGUAGAUCCUUCGGGGCUAAAUGCAUUUGUGCUAAGUUAUAGCAUUUUAUAGACAACUUGUUGACUAUGAUUUGUCUUGUAGCUUACUCGCUUAUGUUAUUUUACCUACGCUUAGGAUGUUGACAGCAGUAUAGACUGU
rnacentral:rRNA from 1 species